GAGAGCAAACUUACCUAGUUGGUGUUGAAAAUAGUUUCUUAAUGGGUUAUGGUGGCAAGAUCUGUGAGUUUGAGGCUAUUUGUUCUUGUCAAACCAUUUUUUCUUUUAAAUUUCGGGGAACAAAUAUAGUAGCUCUUAAUGUCUUCUGAUUAGAAAAGGGUUGAUGUGAUUAGCCUUGAGGUUGCCAAACGACGUGAUAACUUACUUUCAAAAGCUUGCCGUGUAGACAUAAACUUUUUGGCUCAUACGUAGAUUUGGCUACCAAUUCCCUCUUGACCUUUUAUGGGUUCCUGAUGAUGACUUAACGGAGUGGAAGAUAAUGGAACCAUUUCAGUUAAGAAGAAGACUGAUGGCUCAGUCAGGCUUGAUUCCUUGUUGGAGAAACACAGGGUGCUUCUCGUUCUGGCUUUGACAAGGACUUGCAGGGUUAAUGGAGAUGGUUUUCUCAACCAAGCAAUUUCAGAAACACAAGGUGCUGCUUGUUCUGGCUUAGACAGAGACUUGCAUGGUUACUUGGGAUGGUUUUCUUACACAAGCAAUUUUACGUAUUUUGGCUGCGAUGAGAAUUUAGUUUUGCGAGCUUUAGUUGCAUGCGGUGGAAUGGACAUAUAAGGGUUCAUUUUUGCUUUGUUUUUGUCUGUGCAGUUUUUUCUUGUAAAUUGAUCUAUAUUCUAACUCAACAAAAGGAAGAUUUUUAUAUUGGAGAUUAAA